GACGAACGCUGGCGGCGUGCUUAACACAUGCAAGUCGAACGGAAAGGCCCUGCUUUUGUGGGGUGCUCGAGUGGCGAACGGGUGAGUAACACGUGAGUAACCUGCCCUUGACUUUGGGAUAACUUCAGGAAACUGGGGCUAAUACCGGAUAGGAGCUCCUGCUGCAUGGUGGGGGUUGGAAAGUUUCGGCGGUUGGGGAUGGACUCGCGGCUUAUCAGCUUGUUGGUGGGGUAGUGGCUUACCAAGGCUUUGACGGGUAGCCGGCCUGAGAGGGUGACCGGCCACAUGGGGACUGAGAUACGGCCCAGACUCCUACGGGAGGCAGCAGUGGGGAAUAUUGCACAAUGGGCGGAAGCCUGAUGCAGCAACGCCGCGUGCGGGAGGACGGCCUUCGGGUUGUAAACCGCUUUCGCCUGUGACGAAGCGUGAGUGACGGGAAUGGGGAAAGAAGCACCGGCUAACUACGU
rnacentral:rRNA from 1 species